rnacentral:tRNA from 1 species
GUCAUAUUAGUAUAUUAGUAUAACUGAUUUCCAAUCAGUAGGUUUGAAUAUGAUU